UAAUAAUGUUAAGCAAAUAGCAACUACGUUUUAUAAACAAUCGCUAUUGUACUACAGGUGAAUAACGACAGUAAUCGAUUAUAAUACAUAUGUAAUUUUAUAUAGAUACACGCUAUAAAACUAACAAACGACGGGUAACCAAUAUGACAUAUGGACUUUGUAACGAGCAAGAUAGUAAAAAUAUUAAGAAGUAAACAGGAAGAAGCUCAGUAGCCGAGGGGCCAAGGGGGGCUUGCGCCUCAACAACAAAACUCACGCAGAAGGGAAAAUUACAUAACAAAGUCCCCGCACCUACACCACCGCACCAGUGCAGCGUUAUACCAUAUGUAAAAACUUACAAUACAGUAAUAGCUAAUGAACUAAGAUCACAGGCGUGCAUGCGGCGAAGAUGUCGUGUCCUGAUUAGAAUUCCUGGAAAAAGGGGGAGGUGCGCAAAGGUGACAAAAAAUCUAAAGAGGGGGAUCGUUUUGCGCAACGAUCGACCCCUAUAAAAACGGCCACCGAUCACUCGAUCGUCCUCUUGGUUUCUACCACCAGAUUCGUCAUCUUGUUCCGGUACAGUCUCGUGGUAAAAUCCUUUUGCCUUUUGCAUUUAAACUUUUCAUACAACGUUACUCUGCCCAAAAGUCCAGCGAGCUUUCAGCUCCAUUUUGUCAUAUUAAGUUUAAGAUCUUACACUGUGUAACUCCGUUUUGUGACUUGAAAUAUUAAACUUAUAAAAUAAAUCGAAGUUAAUCAAAGUAUUCAAAUACAUUAGAGUCAGUUAUUCCGUUAAAUCCUCUCACCAAUCUACGCUGCAACUCGUCACAUCCAGAGUAUUCUCAAGAGGUACCGUUCGACGUCACAGUAGGAAAAAUGCAUCCCGUAAAUCAGCGGAGCCGGAACGCCUCUGAUUGGGGCUUGAAAAGUCACUGGAUUCCGGGUUCGUGGACACGGAACAAAUUCCGGACUAUGGGACGGCAGCCUCGCUCUGGACCGAUAGCUAUAUGAUCAGAACGUCCGGAGCGACGCUGGUGAUAAAACCGUGCACUAUUAAAUCUCGGAGUUUCGUGGACGCCUGUUCUGCCUUCCCGCCUUAGAGAUUGGAC